rnacentral:miRNA from 1 species
AGAAAUAUUUUCAUGCAUACACACAAAUUCAUUCAUAUAUAUAAUGUGUGUGUGUGAUACACAUACAUACAUACAUACAUACAUACAUACAUACACACAAUCAUUU